rnacentral:lncRNA from 1 species
AUUAAGAUUUAAGAUUUGAUUAGAAUUGAUUUAGGAUAACAUUAGGGUUUGACCAUGAUUGAUUUAGGAUUUGAUUAGCAUUUGGUCAAAAUUUGAUAAAGAUUGGUUUAAGAUUUAUUUAUUAGGAUUUAUGUAAGAUUUGAUUAAGAUUUGAUUAUGAUUGAUUUAAGAUUUGAUUAUGGUUUGUUUAGAAUUUGGUUUGAAUCGAUUCAUGAUUUUAUUAAGGUUUAUUAAAGAUUUAGUUAUGAUUUAUUUAAAAUUUCUAUUUUUAAUAUUU